rnacentral:rRNA from 1 species
AGGGUUCGAUUCUGGCUCAGGAUGAACGCUGGCGGCGUGCUUAACACAUGCAAGUCGAACGGGAUCCAUCAGGCUUUGCUUGGUGGUGAGAGUGGCGAACGGGUGAGUAAUGCGUGACCGACCUGCCCCAUACACCGGAAUAGCUCCUGGAAACGGGUGGUAAUGCCGGAUGCUCCAGUUGAUCGCAUGGUCUUCUGGGAAAGCUUUCGCGGUAUGGGAUGGGGUCGCGUCCUAUCAGCUUGACGGCGGGGUAACGGCCCACCGUGGCUUCGACGGGUAGCCGGCCUGAGAGGGCGACCGGCCACAUUGGGACUGAGAUACGGCCCAGACUCCUACGGGAGGCAGCAGUGGGGAAUAUUGGGCAAUGGGCGCAAGCCUGACCCAGCAACGCCGCGUGAAGGAAGAAGGCUUUCGGGUUGUAAACUUCUUUUGUCGGGGACGAGUAGAAGACGGUACCUGGCGAAUAAGCCACGGCUAACUACGUGCCAGCAGCCGCGGUAAUACGUAGGUGGCAAGCGUUGUCCGGAUUUACUGGGUGUAAAGGGCGUGUAGCCGGGAAGGCAAGUCAGAUGUGAAAUCCACGGGCUUAACUCGUGAACUGCAUUUGAAACUACUUUUCUUGAGUAUCGGAGAGGCAAUCGGAAUUCCUAGUGUAGCGGUGAAAUGCGUAGAUAUUAGGAGGAACACCAGUGGCGAAGGCGGAUUGCUGGACGACAACUGACGGUGAGGCGCGAAAGCGUGGGGAGCAAACAGGAUUAGAUACCCUGGUAGUCCACGCUGUAAACGAUGAAUACUAGGUGUGCGGGGACUGACCCCCUGCGUGCCGCAGUUAACACAAUAAGUAUUCCACCUGGGGAGUACGAUCGCAAGGUUGAAACUCAAAGGAAUUGACGGGGGCCCGCACAAGCGGUGGAGUAUGUGGUUUAAUUCGAAGCAACGCGAAGAACCUUACCAGGUCUUGACA